GUACGGCGAGUGAAGAGGAAGAGCUCAAAGUUGGAACCUGUUUGGCCUAGCUAAACCGGAUUGUAGACUGUAGAAGUGUUUUCCAGGCAAGCCGAGUAAAUAAGUCCUUUGGAACAGGGCAUCAUAGAGGGUGAGAAUCCCGUCUUUGGCUUGAGCAUUUGCCUUUUGUGAUACGCUUUCAAAGAGUCAGGUUGUUUGGGAAUGCAGCCUAAAUUGGGUGGUAAAUCUCACCUAAAGCUAAAUAUUGGCGAGAAACCGAUAGCGAACAAGUACCGUGAGGGAAAGAUGAAAAGAACUUUGAAAAGAGAGUUAAACAGUAUGUGAAAUUGUUAAAAGGGAACCGUUUGGAGCCAGACUGGCUUGUCUGUAAUCAAUCUAGGCUUCGGCCUGGAUGCACUUGCAGGCUAUGCCUGCCAACGACAAUUUGACUUGAGGGAAAAAACUAAGGGAAAUGUGGCCCACUUGUGGGUGUUAUAGUCCCUUAGAAAAUACCUUGGGUUGGAUUGAGGAACGCAGCGAAUGCUUUUUGGCGAGUUUUCCAGGAAGGUUUUCUGAGGUACUACGGUAUCAAGGUUGAUCUUUUUGGUUAUACUUCUAUUCGCUUAGGUUGUUGGCUUAAUGACUCUAAAUGACCCGUCUUGAAC
rnacentral:rRNA from 1 species